rnacentral:lncRNA from 1 species
UUCCCCUUCCUUUGGUGCAGCAGCAGCAGAUAUUUCCCAUGACUGAGUGAUGUAAGACUCAAAAAGUGAUGUCUUUCUGGGAUGAAAGCAAAGUUCGGCUUUUAUAUUAAUUGUGUUGUGAUUGGUGUAAAACAUUUGUGUAAAGUUUGACUUUGGCGGGACUACAUAUCAGUCAAAGUCAAAAUUUGCUUUAUUUCUUUGAUAUUCAAAUUUUGCAAUGUUUGAUUGUAGAAAGUAUCCCACCAAUUAUACAACAAAAUCAAUACUAUUAAAAUGGAAGGAGUUUUGAUAAAUCUACCUAUGAAAGUCAUUUUGGACCAUUUAUUUUUAUUUUUAUUUUUUUGGUCUUACCUUCUACAUGUAAUAAUAUGUGACAAGAUAUUUAACCUUAUAUAUGUGUCCGUUUUUUACUCUAACUACCAGACUGGUUACAUUAUUAUAAUUCUAAACCGUUUAAUGGAUUAGUAAACCAUCGUACCAAAACAAAAUAAAUUAUAAGAGCCACACACUAUUUCUAAACCGUGACAUAUUAUAGUUAUGAAACUAACAGUUUGUACCAAAAC